rnacentral:pre_miRNA from 1 species
UGUGUACUCCCUCCGUUCCAAAAUACUUGACUUCUAUUUGUCCAAAAAUGGAUGUACCUAUAUACUAAAACAUGUCUAGAUACAUAUAUAUUUUCAAAAAUAGAAGACAUGUAUUGUGCAACGGAGGGAGUAGAAU